rnacentral:rRNA from 1 species
UCCUACGGGAGGCAGCAGUGGGGAAUAUUGGACAAUGGGCGAAAGCCUGAUCCAGCAAUGCCGCGUGUGUGAAGAAGGCCUGCGGGUUGUAAAGCACUUUCAGUUGGGAAGAUGAUGACGUUACCAACAGAAGAAGCACCGGCUAAAUCCGUGCCAGCAGCCGCGGUAAUACGGAUGGUGCGAGCGUUAAUCGGAAUUACUGGGCGUAAAGCGCGCGUAGGCGGCUAAGUCAGUCAGAAGUGAAAGCCCCGGGCUCAACCUGGGAAUUGCUUUUGAUACUGCUUAGCUAGAGUUUGGUAGAGGAUAGUGGAAUUCCAGGUGUAGCGGUGAAAUGCGUAGAUAUCUGGAGGAACAUCAGUGGCGAAGGCGACUGUCUGGACCAAAACUGACGCUGAGGUGCGAAAGCGUGGGUAGCAAACAGGAUUAGAUACCCUGGUAGUCCACGCCGUAAACGAUGUCAACUAGCCGUCGGGUCUAUUUACAGACUUGGUGGCGCAGCUAACGCGAUAAGUUGACCGCCUGGGGAGUACGGCCGCAAGGUUAAAACUCAAAUGAAUUGACGG